UAGGGAAUCUUCGGCAAUGGACGAAAGUCUGACCGAGCAACGCCGCGUGAGUGAAGAAGGUUUUCGGAUCGUAAAACUCUGUUGUUAGAGAAGAACAAGGAUGAGAAGAGAAUGUUCAUCCCUUGACGGUAUCUAACCAGAAAGUCACGGCUAACUACGUGCCAG
rnacentral:rRNA from 1 species